rnacentral:rRNA from 1 species
GAUGAACGCUGGCGGCGUGCCUAAUACAUGCAAGUCGAGCGAACGGACGAGAAGCUUGCUUCUCUGAUGUUAGCGGCGGACGGGUGAGUAACACGUGGAUAACCUACCUAUAAGACUGGGAUAACUUCGGGAAACCGGAGCUAAUACCGGAUAAUAUUUUGAACCGCAUGGUUCAAAAGUGAAAGACGGUCUUGCUGUCACUUAUAGAUGGAUCCGCGCUGCAUUAGCUAGUUGGUAAGGUAACGGCUUACCAAGGCAACGAUGCAUAGCCGACCUGAGAGGGUGAGCGGCACCACUGGACCUGAAACCGGGCCCAGCCCCCGACGGGGGGCACAAUGGGGGAUUUUUCCGAAAUGGCGGAAAGCCGGACGGCGCAACGCCGCGUGAGUGAUGAAGGUCUUCGGAUCGAAAAACUCUUUUAUGGGGGAAAAAAAUAUGGGUAAGUAUAUGUGCACACCUGGAGGGUACCUAAUCAGAAAGCCCCGGCUAACGACG